CAGCCGCCGCGGGAAUACCGAGGAUGCAAGCGUUAUCCGGAAUGAUUGGGUGUAAAGCGUCUGUAGGUGGCUUUUCAAGUCCGCCAUCAAAUCCCUGGGCUCAACCCUGGACAGGCAGUGGAAACUACCAAGCUGGAGUACGGUAGUGGCAGAGGGAAUUUCCGGUGGAGAGGUGAAAUGCGUUGAGAUUGGAAAGAACACCAACGGUGAAAGCGCUCUGCUGGGCCGACACUGACACUGAGAGACGAAAUCUAGGGGAGCAAAUGGGAUUAGAUACCCCUGUAGUCCCUGUCUCUUAUAA
rnacentral:rRNA from 1 species